UCCACUAAUAAGCUGGCAAUUAAUGCAAAGAGGAAUGUCCUGGAUUUCUCAAAGAGAAGUAUUUUUCAACAAGAGCUGGUCAAGAUGUUGACGAGAUUUUGCUUUUUUUUUCUCUUUCUUUUCUUUUUUUUUUUUUUUUUUUUUUCAAAUGGGACAUACACUUUCUGGAAAAGGGGGCUAAACUGGUGUUGUAAGUCUGCCCUCACGUGUCGGAUUUUAACUCUUCAGAAGAGAAAGUACAAGUGAGCUCAAUGGAAUCCACCAGACGUAUCGUGGCACCGCCCAGAUAAUGAUUUAUGGAUGUGCAGUGUGAGAAAUGUAUUUUCUACUGCAAUGGAUGGAAACCAGGGUCUCCGUUGCUACCCAGGGCCUGCAUUUCUAUCUGCACUGUGUCGUUCAUGUGUCCCUGGACCCCCAGUUCUGCUUGUGUGCCCGUGAAAAAUGGAAGUGAUUCCCCUGAUCUCAGCAGAUCACGCUGGGUUAAACCUCAUCCAUACAAAGCGUUCUGGUCUCCCUGUCACCUUGUUCAG